rfam:Mesocricetus auratus contig160291, whole genome shotgun sequence.
GGGUCUAUGAUGACAUACUAAUGUCCUGAAAAGUGCUGAUAACAUAUAAAUCAGCCUAAAUAGGAUAACACUGAAGCUC